GGCGCUGUGGCUUAGUGGGUUAAAGCCCUGGCCUGCAGUGCCGGCAUCCAAUAUAGGCACUGGUUCUAGUCCCGGCUGCUCCU
rnacentral:tRNA from 1 species